rnacentral:rRNA from 1 species
UACGUAGGGUGCAAGCGUUGUCCGGAAUUAUUGGGCGUAAAGAGCUUGUAGGCGGUUUGUCGCGUCUGCUGUGAAAUUUCGGGGCUCAACCCCGAACUUGCAGUGGGUACGGGCAGACUAGAGUGUGGUGGGGGAGACUGGAAUUCCUGGUGUAGCGGUGAAAUGCGCAGAUAUCAGGAGGAACACCGAUGGCGAAGGCAGGUCUCUGGGCCAUAACUGACGCUGAGAAGCGAAAGCAUGGGGAGCGAACAGG